CUUGAAGAGUUGAAGUGUUUCUUUUGCUUUUUCCUUUCAUAGUGUUGCGAAUGUCCAUGUCAAUCUUACUAAAGAUUUCAGUGGUAGAAAACGAGAAGUGACGUGUAUUGCAAAAGAUAAUAUUGAUAAUAUUGCAAAAGUAAAUUGUUAUGACAAAUAUAUACAUGUUACUGACGUGUUUAAGUAACAAAGAUCAAAUUUUAUUGCAGAUCAAUACAAGAAUAACUAAAUAUAUAUAUAUAAUCUAGAAUAUAAAAAUAUACAGUUCAAAAUUAUAAAUUUAACAAAUUUAAAGUACAUAAUCCGCGCGUAGCGCGGAAAAAGCUCUAGUAUACAUUAAUAAAUGUAAUUAAAAGUCUUACAGAAUAUCUCAUAAUAUCUUAAAUAAAUAUUUUUCUUUGUUUCUUUUUUCAUUUUUCUUUAUUACUUAGAUAUUCAUUGAAUUUUAUAGAUGAAAUUACUCUUACUGGUUAUGCAUUAAUUUAUGGUUUAAUUAUUUUAGUUUUUUCCUAUUCCUAAGUAAAAUGUUAAAUAAAAAAUUAGAAAUAUGAAAUGGAUGCAUGAAUAAGUAGAUCAAUUUCAUCCAUACAAUUCAAUGAAUAUCUAAUUAAUAAAAAAUGAGAAGAUAUAUAUUUUUUAAUUUAAAAUACUAUGAGAUAUUCUUUAAUACUUUCAAAUACAUAUUUGUUAAUGUAUAAAUGACUUAAUAUAUUUUAUACAUUUAAAUUAAUUAAUUAAUUUUUAUUAAUAUAAUAAUCUUCUUUGAUUAGAAUCCCAUUUUAGAUACUAGACUAAUAACUAAUAAGGUUGCUCUUUCAUAUUAUAUAUAUAUAUAGUCUAUAUUGUACUUUCGAGAAAAUACAACCAUUAAAUAGCAAACAAACACACCGUUUUUAGAAGAGUAUUACGAUAAUGGCAUCGUCACAUCUUACUAUCAUGUGCCUCAUCAUGAUUUCUCUCGUUCUUAUACAGCAGUUGGGUGACGCAUACGGUCUAGAAGCAAAAAGAAGACAGUGCCUCCCUGUAGAAUGUUCCUUACCCAGAGUAGGAAGAUAUUGUGCUUGCUGUGUCGAAGGAGAGAAAACAUUAAAAUGUUGGGUUAAGAAAGAAGAAUGUAUGGCAAAUUGCAAGAAGCUCCCAGUUCGUUGAAUGGCUUAAGAAACUUGAAAGAUUUAGAACAUAUUCAUGUGAAAUAUCUCAAUAAAAUUAUUAAAAUUUUAUAAAAUUCAGAUAUUAAUUAA